UCCCCUUACAUAGUUAGAUAGACCACGUUAUUCUUCCAACAAAUCUUGCAUGAUCACAUGAGUAAAUGUAUACGCAUAAAGAGAUACAUAUCUCUGAAAUAUAAAAUCAUUCUUUUUCUUUUUACUUUAGAAAAAGUCUUUUGCGUAUGUGCCUAGACACUAUGCAUUUUGUUUAGUGACCAUACAAAAAUUAUGUAACGCUUAUUCCUAAUAUCCUUCAAUGUGUAUGAAUGUCAUCAACGCUGUCGUGG
rnacentral:lncRNA from 1 species